GGGGUCUUGUUAAAAUGCAGAUUCUGAUGCAGCAGGUCUGGGGUGAAGCCGCAGAUUCUGCAUUUCUAACAAGCUC
rnacentral:miRNA from 1 species